rnacentral:rRNA from 1 species
UACGAAGGGGGCUAGCGUUGCUCGGAAUCACUGGGCGUAAAGCGCACGUAGGCGGCUUUGUAAGUCAGGGGUGAAAUCCUGGAGCUCAACUCCAGAACUGCCUUUGAUACUGGAGAGCUUGAGUCCGGAAGAGGUGAGUGGAACUCCGAGUGUAGAGGUGAAAUUCGUAGAUAUUCGGAAGAACACCAGUGGCGAAGGCGGCUCACUGGUCCGGUACUGACGCUGAGGUGCGAAAGCGUGGGGAGCAAACAGG